rnacentral:rRNA from 1 species
AGUGGCGGACGGGUGAGUAAUGCUUGGGAACUUGCCUUUGCGAGGGGGAUAACCAUUGGAAACGAUGGCUAAUACCGCAUAAUGUUUUCGAACCAAAGUGGGCUUCGGCUCACGCGCAAAGAGAGGCCCAAGUGGGAUUAGCUAGUUGGUAGGGUAAAGGCUUACCAAGGCGACGAUCUCUAGCUGUUCUGAGAGGAAGAUCAGCCACACUGGGACUGAGACACGGCCCAGACUCCUACGGGAGGCAGCAGUGGGGAAUAUUGCAUAAUGGGGGCAACCCUGACGCAGCCAUGCCGCGUGUGUGAAGAAGGCCUUCGGGUUGUAAAGCACUUUCAGUGGUGAGGAAAAGUUAGUAGUUAAUACCUGCUAACCGUGACGUUAACCACAGAAGAAGCACCGGCUAACUCCGUGCCAGCAGCCGCGGUAAUACGGAGGGUGCGAGCGUUAAUCGGAAUUACUGGGCGUAAAGCGCACGUAGGCGGAUUGUUAGGCUAGAUGUGAAAGCCCCGCGCUUAACGUGGGAUGGUCAUUUAGAACUGGCAGACUAGAGUCUUGGAGAGGGGAGUGGAAUUUCUGGUGUAGCGGUGAAAUGCGUAGAGAUCAGAAGGAACAUCAAUGGCGAAGGCAGCUCUCUGGCCAAAGACUGACGCUCAUGUGCGAAAGUGUGGGCAGCGAACAGGAUUAGAUACCCUGGUAGUCCACACCGUAAGCGCUGUCUACUAACUGUAUGUGUAUUUAAUACGUGUGUAGCGAAGCUAACGCGCUAAGUAGACCGCCUGGGGAGUA